UACGUAGGUCCCGAGCGUUGUCCGGAUUUAUUGGGCGUAAAGCGAGCGCAGGUGGUUUAUUAAGUCUGGUGUAAAAGGCAGUGGCUCAACCAUUGUAUGCAUUGGAAACUGGUAGACUUGAGUGCAGGAGAGGGGAGUGGAAUUCCAUGUGUAGCGGUGAAAUGCGUAGAUAUAUGGAGGAACACCGGUGGCGAAAGCGGCUCUCUGGCCUGUAACUGACACUGAGGCACGAAAGCGUGGGGAGCAAACAGG
rnacentral:rRNA from 1 species